rnacentral:rRNA from 1 species
UACGAAGGGUGCAAGCGUUGCUCGGAAUUAUUGGGCGUAAAGGGUAGGUAGGUGGUCUCAUUUGUCAGGGGUGAAAGCCUUGGGCUUAUCCCAAGAAGUGCCCCUGAAACGGUGAGACUGGAGUCUUGGAGAGGGUCGUGGAAUUCCCGGUGUAGCGGUGAAAUGCGUAGAGAUCGGGAGGAACACCAGAGGCGAAGGCGGCGACCUGGACAAGUACUGACACUCAACUACGAAAGCGUGGGUAGCAAACAGG